GUAAGCAGGUGAUACUUCUUAGAGGGACUGGUGUCCUACAAGGCGCACGAGAAAGAGCAAUAACAGGUCUGUGAUGCCCUAAGAUGUUCGGGGCCGCACGCGUGCUACAAUGACGAUGCUAGUGAGUUUGAUAUUCUGGCUCGGAAGGGUCGGGCAAACUUGUUAAUCAUCGUCGUGACUGGGAUUGGGGUUUGUAAUUAUCCCCCAUGAACCAGGAAUUCCUAGUAAGUACAAGUCAUAAGCUUGUGCUGAUUACGUCCCUGCCCUUUGUACACACCGCCCGUCGCUACUACCGAUUGAACGGUUUAGCAAGGUCAUUGGAUUGGCCCUCUUUCGGCCUCGGUCGUUGAGGGCUGAAAAGAUGACCGAACUUGAUCGUUUAGAGGAAGUACAAGUCGUAACAAGGUUUCCGUAGGUGAACCUGCGGAAGGAUCACU
rnacentral:rRNA from 1 species